rnacentral:lncRNA from 1 species
ACGUGCAGGGGUGUGGGUCCCCCACGUGUCUUGGGGUGGACGCUGUGUCUUUUAUCCGUCUCCACACCACCUGGAGGCGAUCAACAUACCAUACGUGUUCGACAUAGUUUUUUUUUUUAAGUUUUUAUUUUUCCUUUUUCUCCCCAAAGCCCCCCCCCCCCCCCACAUACACAUAGUUGUAUACUUUCGUUGUGGGUCCUUCUAGUUGUCGCACGUGGGACGCCGCCUCAGCCUGGCUCGGUGGGCGGGGCCGGGUCGGUGCCGGGAUCCGAAUGGUGAAACCCUGGGCCGCCCAACCGCGUGGGAACUUAGCCACUCGGCCACCGGGCGGCCCCUUGAGGUAGUUUUUGGAUGAGUCGGUGUUUUUGUGUUCCUCGUCUUACCCGCCAAGCGCACGGAGCUUGGGUUCACCUGGAACUACACCUAACGAGACGGAAUAAAAGGCAAGCGCGUUCGGUCGGAAGGACGAUUCGUGGGAUUGGCUGUAGGCUCAGGACGAAAUUACAGUCAAAGCCAGCUUUCCGGCUCUUCUCAGGUGUAACGUUUCUCUGGAAAAGCUCUUCCACAUCCAUGGCUUCUGCUGUACACCUGCCCCCUGAAAUUUCAUCGCCAGCUCAGAGUUCAUCUUUGAGACCAGACGUCAGCUGCUGGUUCGUCUCAGAGGUUUUCACAGUCAAACUGAAGUGACGACUUCCCGCUGGAGUCUCGCCUCCGUCUAGUUCAUCUCGUUCCUCGCAGUGAGUGGCCACAUCACUAACUGAAGUGCCAAAAUCAGAAACGUUGAUUAUCUCUCCCUCAUCUCUCCUCCAUUUAUAUUUUUAAGUAGUAAAACCUGUUGUCUUAUCUAUUAUUGUAUUUCUCUUGGGUUUUAUGUUUAGAAAAUAUGCUCAUGCCUGAGUGCAGAUAAAACACACUUCUUAUUAAAUAACGGAGCAUGAUUGCUAAGUUAAGGGUCAGGUUAGAGAUCCAGGAGGAGAUCACGCUGCUGAAAAGUGGCCCUAUCGAGGAAAAAGCCCGAGUGUUUUUAGCAAGCUUACAUAAGUCAAAUAAUGUUUAAAAUCAGCAGAAGUUUAACUGAGCCCUUUUUGAACAUAAAAAUUGUAAGACUUUGAGAAGGAAUCUAUUCUAAAGGACUGUGGGAGUCUGUAAAUGAAAAAUAAGAAAGUUAAAAACAGUUGGAAGCCUGAGGGCCUGAUCUUAUAAUUGUUACAUCUUAGUAUUGUUCACAGUUUUCCAUUUAUGAAAAUCUGAGUUAACAGCUUUGGAAUAAAACAAUAUUUACAUUUAUCUUUUUCUUAAUU